rnacentral:rRNA from 1 species
AGAUUGAACGCUGGCGGCAUGCUUUACACAUGCAAGUCGAACGGUAACAGGCCGCAAGGUGCUGACGAGUGGCGAACGGGUGAGUAAUGCAUCGGAACGUGCCCAGUCGUGGGGGAUAACGCAGCGAAAGCUGUGCUAAUACCGCAUACGAUCUAUGGAUGAAAGCGGGGGACCAAAGGCCUCGCGCGAUUGGAGCGGCCGAUGUCAGAUUAGCUAGUUGGUGGGUAAAGGCCACCAAGGCGACGAUCUGUAGCUGGUCUGAGAGGACGACCAGCCACACUGGAACUGAGACACGGUCCAGACUCCUACGGGAGCAGCAGUGGGGAAUUUUGGACAAGUGGGCGACAAGCCUGAUCCAGCAAUGCCGCGUGCAGGAAGAAGCUUCGGUUAGUAACUUGUCUUUGAACGUAACGAACGGUCUAGGUAAUACCGU